rnacentral:rRNA from 1 species
CCUACGGGAGGCAGCAGUGGGGAAUAUUGGACAAUGGGGGGAACCCUGAUCCAGCCAUGCCGCGUGUGUGAAGAAGGCCCUCGGGUUGUAAAGCACUUUCAGUGAGGAAGAACGCCUGUUGGUUAAUACCCAUCAGGAAAGACAUCACUCACAGAAGAAGCACCGGCUAACUCCGUGCCAGCAGCCGCGGUAAUACGGAGGGUGCGAGCGUUAAUCGGAAUUACUGGGCGUAAAGCGCGCGUAGGUGGCUUGAUAAGCCGGUUGUGAAAGCCCCGGGCUCAACCUGGGAACGGCAUCCGGAACUGUCAAGCUAGAGUGCAGGAGAGGAAGGUAGAAUUCCCGGUGUAGCGGUGAAAUGCGUAGAGAUCGGGAGGAAUACCAGUGGCGAAGGCGGCCUUCUGGACUGACACUGACACUGAGGUGCGAAAGCGUGGGUAGCAAACAGGAUUAGAUACCCUUGUAGUC